rnacentral:rRNA from 1 species
UACAGAGGGUGCGAGCGUUAAUCGGAAUUACUGGGCGUAAAGCGUGCGUAGACGGUUAUUUAAGUCGGGUGUGAAAGCCCCGGGCUCAACCUGGGAAUUGCAUUCGAGACUGAAUAGCUAGGGUACGGUAGAGGGAAGUGGAAUUUCCGGUGUAGCGGUGAAAUGCGUAGAGAUCCGGAAGAACACCGGAGGCGAAGGCGGCUUGCUGGGCUUGGUCUGACGCUGAGGCGCGAAAGCGUGGGGAGCGAACAGG